AAAACUUUCAACAACGGAUCUCUUGGUUCUGGCAUCGAUGAAGAACGCAGCGAAAUGCGAUAAGUAAUGUGAAUUGCAGAAUUCAGUGAACCAUCGAAUCUUUGAACGCACAUUGCGCCCCUUGGUAUUCCGAGGGGCAUGCCUGUUCGAGCGUCAUUG
rnacentral:rRNA from 1 species